rnacentral:rRNA from 1 species
GACGAACGCUGGCGGCGUGCCUAACACAUGCAAGUCGAACGAAAAGAGGGAAAGAGCUUGCUCUUUCCGGAAUCGAGUCGCAAACGGGUGAGUAACACGUAAACAACCUGCCUUCAGGAUGGGGACAACAGACGGAAACGACUGCUAAUACCGAAUAAGUUCCAAGGGCCGCAUGGCCCAUGGAAGAAAAGGUGGCCUCUACCUGUAAGCUAUCGCCUGAAGCGGGGUUUGAGUCUGAUUAGCUGGUUGGGGGGGGAACGGGCGACCAAGGCGACGGUCGGUAGCCGGUCUGAGGGGAUGAACGGCCACACUGGAAAUGAGACACGGUCCACACUCCUACGGGAGGCAGCAGUGGGGAAUCUUCCGCAAUGGGCGAAAGGCUGACGGAGCAACGCCGCGUGAGUGAUGACGGCCUUCGGGUUGGAAAACUCUGUGAUCCGGGACGAAAAGGCAGAGUGCGAAGAACAAACUGCAUUGACGGUACCGGAAGAGCAAGCCACGGCUAACUACGUG